rnacentral:lncRNA from 1 species
UUUUUUUUUUUUUUUGUUUUAAUUAAUUGGUCUAUGUUAUAGGAUAAUAAGAUGGUUAGAAAUCUGAAAGAAGCUAAGAGCAGCACUAAUACACAAGCAUCUCAACCAAUUGAACAGAAUUAACUAAAGUAAUCAGUAGACUUAGUUCACACAGUAAUUAACACAUCAGAGUUAAUGUGCUAAGUUCCCGGAGUUCCUGUAUAACACGUUCACGAGCACAUAAAAUAAGAAAAUGAAGCAAUGACAACAUCUAAAAGUGGGAGCUGAGAACCUACACAUAGCAAGUAUAUAUAAUAUAUGUACUUAUGUAGUAACAUAAACUGGAGUAUAAUGAUAAAUUGAUCAUCAAACCUUGUGACUCUUUUGCGCGCCAAUUUAUCUUGAGCAUCUUGCUUCUUAACAGGUAGCAUCCCUCCAAUCAGAAAUAGGCUCUCUGAAUAAUCAACAAUCACAUAUGAUCCAUCCUUAUUAUUAUCAAAGCUGAAUUUUUCCUUGAUUGAACUAGUUAUGGGAUCACACAAGAAUAUCACUCCAUUUUCAUUCUUAGCUACAAUGUCACCAUUCCUCAAACAGCCCAAUAUUAGGUCAAACCCGACUAACGGUCCAACACUGUAUUUCUUACUCCAACCAUCUACAUCAUCCAUUACCCAAACAUCCAUAUGACAAUCAUCUUUAUGAUCCCAGUCUAACAUACAAAGAGAACCCUCCAAUUCCACAAGAUAUUGAUGCUUCUUACGCCUUCCUAUCGAAGGUAACUUCUCAAAAACUAGUUUCCCCACAUCAAAUCGCACAAACACAGCACGCGAUCCGAACUUAUCAGGCAUACAAACCAACCAAUACGCCACCCCUUUAACAAUCACAUUGCAAGUAAACUCAAGAAUAUGAAAAAUCAUCUCAUUUUUCAGCUUCUUCCAUUUCCCACUCUUACUCGAAUACAUCUCAACAUGGUUCGGGACUGCAUACAUUAUGCCCACACAAAAUAUUCUCAAGAUCAACAAAUCAUUAUGUUGGAAAUCAAAAGCCAUUCCAAUAGACGCCAAAAAGUGCAGUCCCUGACGGGGCAAGCUAUCAGUGAGCUCCACCAUCUUAUACUUCCUCAUCGCCGGGUUCCAAAGGGUAAUCAGUUCACCCCAUGGUGGAUUAAAAAGGCAGAUAAAGCCAUUGCAAGGACCCACAAUGUACAUAUUGGGGAAGAAACAGGGGAAAGGGCUGUCCACCUGGACAACUGAUUCCGGCGGGUUGUAUAGUGAGACUACAUGAUGAUUAGACUCGCGAUGACGGCUGCCUAUAAGAAUAGAUGAACCGGAGAACUGCAAAGAAGAAGAGUGACGGAAAUGUGAGGCGAUGAAAUCGGGUUUGGAAAUGAGGUUUCGCCAUUGCUUGCUAACACACCUGAAUCGUAAAAGGGUUUUGACAGGGAGACGGGAAAGGAUGUUAGAGAUGAUUUCUCUUGGGAAAUAGAAGUGGGAAGUUGGUUCUGGUUCUGCUGCAGCUCUGCAUUUUGGUUCUUUUGAAGUCCCUUUUCCUUUACCUUUACUUUUACCUUUCUUCUUCCCAUUUCCUUUGCCUUUAGGAGGCAUCUUGGAAGCAGGAAAAGGGUUUUACAAAAUCACAGUAACAAUGUUGACAAAGAAGAAGGGUUUUAGGGUUGCAAAAUCAGAGCAUGUAUUUGUCUUUUGUGACAGAACUGGGGACUCGACAGAGACCUGUAGGUUUUGGCAUCAGCUCUGAAUAAAGGAAGGAUACAAUACAGAAUUUGUACUGUAUUCUGUGAUAUUGUUGGGAUGAAUAAUUAUAUGAUUUUUCAGGUUACAUAUUUUGUUUCGUGCAUUUUUUUAAAUCUAUUUGGUAUUAAGGUAUGUAUAAUUUUAACAUGCAUUUACAUGAUUAAAGAUACAAUUGCCUUUUGUGCCACAAUAAACAAGAAGAAAUUGUUGUGCUGUUCAAUUCUGUAUUUUGGAACACAAGCCAAAUUUAUAUGCAAGAUCGAAAAUUCGAUUUUAGCAAGUCAAAUGUUUAUAUAAGAGCUAGGUAACUCAAUUCAUUCAUAAGUCAAAUGCAAAAUCUCAAGACUUACAAUCUCUUAUCUUGAAAUUUCCAUAUUUUUACCAGUCCAAAUUCAAGUACACUUGAGCCUAGCCUUGAGUUUGUUUUGGAGGUUGAAUGGUGUACAAGGAGUUGAGCUGCCUACUUAUUAGCAUGCUGUUAUUGAGAGCCAUUUGGAGUUCCAAGUCAUCAGACCACCAUUGUUUAAGCCUAUGUGCCUCAAGAAACCUCUGCUUUGCCUUUGACACCACAAAAAGCUUUACACCGGUUAGCGCAUUUCCACCAGGUUUUACUUCUUUCUCCUUAUUACCAAUAUUGAAACUAUUGUUUUGUACUCCAUCUGGAUAAUUGUAGUAGCAGCAUAUGUAGUCACUUGUGUUAACAUACAAAUGAGGCAUAGGCAGCAUUUGCUUAAGCUCUGAAGUGAUUCUUGAUUCUGUAGAUUCAGCUGCAUCCUCUGCGAUGCUCUUGCUAUGAAACUCUGAGUUAGAAGGAAGCAUUGAUUUGAACCUUUUCCACACAAAUCCAGCUUUUCCACUCAAGAUUCUAUAACUCAUGGCCAAUGAAACAGAUGGUGGAUUGAAAAGAUGUGCUUCUACAUAAGUUCCUUCAGCAGCUAACGCCUUGUAUACCUCGAGAGCAAAACCAGCUCCUAAUGAGUGCCCUGUGAUGGACACAUUUUUGCUCCCUUGCUGGUUGAAGAUGAUUGAUUUUAGAGCCGUUAAGAGUCUUUCGAAUCUGAAGGAUCCUUUGAGACUUUCCCAUGCUAAGUAACGUAGAUCAUCCUCGACGUCUCUCCUUAUUGUGGGGUUCUUCAAGAGUGUUCCUCUGAUGGCUAAUACCACUUUUGGUGCACCAGUUGGUCUUAUUGGUAUAAAAUCAGCCAGGGCUGCUGCUUGAUCCCAUUCCAAAACUGCAGCAAAUAUCGAACCAUCUCUUUCAUCUACAAGGGGUUCAACCAGUUUGUACUUAAAGGGUGUCCACCACUGUGGUGCAAGGGCAGUUUCUAGGCCGUACCUAUUUUCUUGUCUGUCUAGUUCAAGCAAGUAUGCUGAUUGUACAAAACAGGCCAUCACUACUCUUUUGUAGCUUUCGUUCUUCCUGCACAUUCUAUACACCAUCAUAAGUAGUACUAAGAAUUGAAAUCUCAACGAAGACAUGAAAUGAUAAAACGGAAACUAACCAACUGGAGCUGAUGAGUUCUCUCCAUCCAGGAGAAGAAAUGUGUCGAGGACCAAAUACAUGGAAGGCCUUGGGAUGGUACUGGAAAGAAUGGUUUCUCUCCAUGGAAUUUUUUCUGAAGGACCAAUAUGUUCUCAUGCAGUCACUUCUUUUUUCUUGAGUUUCUUAAUAAGGUGGAGGUUGUAUGUAGCAAAUAAAAUGUGACAAACCAGUCUUCAUAAAAGAGAAGAAAAUACACUUCCCAACGCCUAAAAGGGAAUCACUUUUGCAUUUCAUAUAAUUUAUAUAUGGUAUCGGAUACCAGUGAAUUAAUAUGGAUUCUUCUGCCAUAUCUUAUACAUAUUAUAACAAAAUGCAAGUGUUUUAUCUUGGUAAAGAACACUCAACCUUGCAAAAUUAGUCAUGUCUGAUCUUAUUCUAUUCCUAUAGAUCAGCUUACAACAGAAUCUGAUUCUGUUUUGCUCUGAAUGACCUAAAAGAAAACUAGCAUAAUGCUCUAGGAAUACAUCUAUCUAUAUAUAAAUGGUUUCUUUGUCCUAAUGUUUCGCAUGCUCUUUCAUUUAUAUUAUCUGAUGAACACCUUAUCGAAUCUCAAGGAUAAGACGAAGAUCCACGACAUCAUUAAACAAAUGUUUGUCGAGUCUCUAAAUAUUUUAAUCUCCUUUUUCUCUCAUCCUAUUCGGUUCUAGUUCAUGAAAAUUUUAUUUAAAAGCGAUCUCUUUGAAUCUUUCUUUAUUUGAAUGAAUCUGGCAAUAAAAUAGGAUAUCAUAACUUCCAUCUUAAUUUGACAACCGCCACACCAAUAUCCUGAGAAACCUGGUUAAGGAAAAUAGACAGGUGAAUCGUGAUUGCCUUGUCCCCCUACUAUCGAUGUUAUAAGAAAAUAUUCAACAAUAUUAUAUUUCUUAAUAUUAUUUUAGUAUAAGAAAUUACACGAAUUAGUUAUUUCGUUAUUUCUUAUAUCUGAACUUUAUUUUUAAAAAUUAAUUAUCAUCCAUUAUUUAAAUUUUACUGACCUAAAUGACUAAUAAAUACUUGAUCAGUGAAAAACAAUAAUGACAGUCUACUCCUAUAUUUGGGGAUAAAGCGUAAGCAAAUCUUAUUUUUACCUCAUGAGAUAGAAAAGUUUUUGAAAGACCUCGACUCAGGUAACGCCUAUAAAAAAUCAUACGGAAGAAAAGAGGUUAACAAGUACUCCAUCCGUUUAAAAAAGAAUGACCUCCUUUCCUUUUUAGUCCGUUUCAAAAAGAAUGACCUAUUUUCUUUUUGGUAACAUUUUAAUUUCAGUUUUCCACGUGACAUGUUUAAAGCCACAAGAUUGAAAGACAAUUCAGUACAUUUGAUAUAAUUUUAAUUUAUGACCACAAGAUUCAAAAAUCUUCUUUAUUUUUUAAAACUUUGUGUCAAGUCAAAUCAGAUCAUUCUUUUUUAAACGGAGGGAGUACUUAUUAGAGUAAGCAUCAUAUAACAUACCAGGAAAAGAAGCAUUAAAAGUAAUAUGAAAAUCAAAACACAAGACACAAUAUAUAACAACUAGGGGUGACAGAAUAGGUAAUUAAUAUGGGUAUCCAACUCAUUUAAAAAUGGGUAAAAACAUAUAAUACCCAGAUUAUCCAUUUAAAGGUGGAUAGUUAAAUAGAUAAAAUGGGUAAAAAAUGUUCAUUUACACAAAAAAAAAAAGAGUGCUAAAGAGUGGGGUAGUAAGUAAGUCUAUUUUUUUUACAUUUUUAUAUGUUAUUUUUUUUUUGGGAUAGGAAGGUGGGGGGGUUGGUAGGGUGGUGGGUGGUUGUUAUUUAAAAAAAAAAAAAAUUAAUGGAAAAAAUUUAAAAUUUUGUUAAUUAUUUUUUGGAUGGGGUGUGGGAGGUGGUUGGUAGGGUGUGGGGUGGUAAAUUUUUUUUAAAUUUCUUUUUUUUAUUUUUAUUUUUUGGGAUUGGGGUAGGGGGUGGAGUGAAGCGAUGAAAAAACUUUAAUUUUUUUUUUGUUUUUAAAGAUUUUAACAAGAUUUCUAUUAUAACAUGAGUAAUUAUGAGUAUCCAUAUUAUCCAUUGGGUAAUUCAUUUUUAUCCAUUUAAAAUGUGAGUCGAGUCGAGUAAUUUAUCCAUUUUUAUUUAACUCAUUUUUUAUCGACUCAUAUUCGACUCGACUCACUCGUUUGUCACUCCUAAUAGCAACAUAAAACACAAAAAAUAUCAAAACUACAUGUAUUAAAGGAGAAACAUGAAAGAGUCAGGGCGGGAUUUAUGCUUUAGAAAGUAAGGCCUUUGCCUUGGGCCCCCAAAUUUUAGUGAAGAAUAAAUUAUGUGUUAAUAUUUUUAUAAAAAAAAUUUGAUCAUUUAUGAUAAAAAAGUAUAUAUUUUUUUAAAAUAAAUUAUUUUAUCCACUUUAACAUUUUUUGUACUUUGUUAAAAAUAAGAAUUAAUAGUAAAAAGUGUUGACCAAAGUGAAUUACAAAUUCUUUUUUAUUUCUUUUUAAAUUUUAGUUUCAAGCAUUACUACACGCAUAUUAAUAUGAGGUAUACCAAGUCAUCAACUUCUUGAGUCAAAUUCUGUGGUUCUGACUCUUAUCUUUAUUUAAUAUUUAUCGACUUAUCACUUAUGGCAUUCUGUUAACAAUACAUAUAAUAAUUGCCUCACUUAAAUGAUGUUUUUUCAAUGUUGAGUUGAUAAAAUCUUACUUAAAACUAGUAACUGAAAAAACAAUAUUAAAUACGAAUAAUUUUCAUCUAGAUAGUGCAGGAAAAAUAAUUUUUGAAUAAAUACGUAUAUGAAGUUUAUUUAUAUUUUAGGCCGCGAAUUGAAAUUUCGCUUUAAGCCCCCAAUUACGUUGAGCCGCCCCUGAAAAGAGUGCCAAACAACCAAGUCUACAUCGCAAGAAAGCAAGACAAUGGUCAACUAUCCACAACUUUUUAUUCAAGUUAGUGACCUCUAAAUCCUCCUGAAGAUGUUUUAUCUUGUUUCAAAUUACAUGUCUUCGAUAUAUGUCUAUCCCUCGAACCCACUAUCAUCAAUCUGAACCACUCUAUAACGGAGCCUCUUCACAUGUCCAUAUUAUCUCAGUCUGAUUAUCCUUAUUUUAUCCACCACAAAAAUCACUCCUACUUAUCUCUAGUGUCAUUAUUUCUAAUCUUGUUUGUUCUAGUAUGCGCACACAUCCACGUCAUAAUUCUCAGUUCCAUAACCCUUGGGAAUUUUUAAUUGGCCAACUUUUUUCCCUCUUCAUGCCAAGAGUCAAAACUAAAUCUGUCAGCAUCCCCAAAAUUGUCUUUGUCGAUUCACAAAUCCCUUUCUCGUCUUCACCUUUCUAGCAAAGAUGGCAGCUAAAGGCAAAGGAAAUGGGAAAAGGAAAGGGAAAGGGAAAGGGAAUUCCAAGAAAACAAAGAGCAAACCUCCGGACCCAACAUCCGACUGCAUUUUCCCUAGAGAAACCAUCUCUAACAUCCUUUCUCAUCUCCCUGUCAAGACCCUUUUACGAUUCAGGUGUGUUUGCAAGCCAUGGCGGAACCUCAUUUCCAAACCCAACUUCAUAGACACCCAUUUACACCGUUCCUCUUCUUUGCAGCCCACUAAUUCUCCAAUUCUUAUACACACCCGCCAUGUCAAGUCCACCGAUCAUGUACUCUCACUAUUCGACUCGCCGGAAUCAUCAGUUACCGAACUCGAUAACCCUUUUCCUUUCUUCUUUCACGAGAUGGCCGUUGUGGGUUCAUGCAAUGGCAUUGUUUGCCUUUGUAAGCCACCUUGGGGUGAUGUAAUCACUCUUUGGAACCCAAUGAUGAGGAAGUGUAUGGCGGUGCAGCUUUCGAAGAAGAAACCCCUAAUGGGAGUGCACUCUGGUGUAUCCAUUGGGUUGGCGUACGAUUCACAAGAGAAUGAUUUCAUUAUCUUAAGUCUUUUGUGUUUCAGGGUAGGAUCUAGGGUUCCGGAUGAAGUGGAAAUGUGUUCGACAAAGAGUUUCUGUUGGAAGCAGGUGAAAAAUGAGGUGGGGUUUAGAGUUCUUGGGCCCUGUUGCAAUGUGAUCAUUAAAGGGGUACCUUAUUGGACCGCUCUAGUAGAGGAUGAGUAUGGGUUACGUGAGGUGUUGGUGUAUUUUGAUGUGAGUAGGAAAGUAUUUGAGAAGUUACCUAUGCCAGGAAUAACAGUGGGAACUCAGUGGCAGCUUGUGGAUUUGGAGGAUUCCGUUGGUAUGUUAAUCUGGGCGAAAACAGACAAAUAUAACGUUGAUGUUUGGGUAAUGGACGAUGAAGAUGGUUGGAGUAAGAAAUGCAAUGUCGGACUGGUGUUCGGGUUUGACAGAAUUAUUGGCUGUUUGAGGAAUGGUGACAUUGUAGCUGAGGAUGAAAAUGGCGUGUUGUUACUCUUUGAUCCGGUGACUAAUUCUGUUAAGGCAAAAUUGUGCAUCGAUAACGCUAAGAGAGGUUCAUCCGUGAUUUUCAACUAUUCAGAGAGCCUAGUUCUAAUUGGAGGGAUGCUACCAGUUGAGAAGCAAACUGCUAGAGAUAAAGUAGCACGUGAAAACCUCCUAAAGUGCGGUGAUGAAAUCUUUGUCUUCUCAAUUACAUUUUAAGUUACUAUAUGCUUGCUUUGUGCUGAUUAUUAACUCCGUCUUUGAGAUUUUGUUGUUGCUUUGUUUAUCAUGUUGCGCAUAUGUAUAUGUUACGGGCACCUGGUGAAACUAAGCAGAUAGACUAUGAUUUAAUCUUCUAUGUGAACUCACUCUAUGAUUUGUUUACAUAAUUCUUAGCAAUUAGUGGAGAUGCUUGUGAAUUGCUGCUGUGGUGUUCUGUUUUUUAGAGCAUCAGUUGUGGUGCGGUCAAUAAGCAACAAGAAAUAGAAAAUUGUUAGGAACCCACAAUUCUCUAAUAAUAAAUCUGUAAACUUCCAAACACAAGACAGAAGUAGGAACAACACUUCAACUAAUAUUUACUGCUACAGAUAAUUAGAAUAUGUUAUACAAAUAGUUAGUAGAGAAUACUUCUAACAUUCAAGGUAUUUCGAGGAACCUUAACCUCCAAAUCUGCCUGAGAAAUCCUUACCCACCAAAAUCCUGUCUUUUUCCUUUUCCCAGUACUAUUUAUCCCCAAAUAACUACCUAAACUGCUAGUUAACUGCUAGAUAACUACUAGAUAACUACUAGAAUUACAUUCACAUAAUAAUUAAUAAAUAAAACAACUAUAUUUAAGCCUUAUUUUCACCCUUCUUUCUGCGUUCAUAGACCUUAGUAACAACAGGUCUAACAAUACCCGCCCCAACGAGCUUCACCUUGUCCUCAAGGUGAAAAUGAGGAAACUGUGCAUCAAUGAUCUCAUAGGAUUCCCAAGUGUUUUCAAAGUCUGGUAAGCCCUCCCAUUUAAUCAACACCUCUUUGGAACCAUUCAAGAGUGUAUGACAGUCCACUACACCUUCUGGUUGCACUUGUAGUUCAAGCUCAUCAGAUAAGAAAGGAGGGAGCUGCUGAACUGGAGUAGAAUCCUUAACUGCGCGCUUUAACCAAGAAACAUGAAAUACAGGGUGCACCCGUGAAUGAGGGGGUAAAUCAAGGCGAUAAGCAACUUCACCAAUUUUAUUCAAUAUGGUAUAUGGCCCAUAGUAACGAGGACUUAACUUCUGAUUAACUUUUUUAGCAAGUGAGCGAAGCUUGAAAGGUUGCACACGAAGAUAAACCAAAUCACCAGGCUGAAACACAACUUCACGACGCUUAGCAUCAGCAUAGACUUUCAUUUGAGCUUGAGCAUGAAUUAGAUUAUCUUUGAGUUCAUCUAAAAUAUUGUUGCGAGCCAUAAGCUGCUGGUUGACCUCUUCAACAGCAGAAAUUUCAUCAGUAAACCGCAACAAAGAAGGAGGAUCUCGCCCAUAUAAAGCUCUGAAAGGGGUCAUCUUGGCGGAACCAUGGUAAGUGGUAUUGAACCAAAAUUCAGCCCAAGGAAUCCAUCUUGGCCAUUGUUUUGGAUGUGCUCCUGAAAAGCAACGCAAAUAAGUUUCCAAAGAACGGUUGACAACCUCAGUUUGACCAUCUGUUUGAGGGUGAUAACCUGAGCUUAAUUUGAGGCUAGUACCGGACAACUUGAAUAAUUCUUGCCAAAAUUGGCUGACAAAAAUCCGAUCGCGAUCAGACACAAUUGUUUUGGGAAAACCAUGCAAACGUACAAUCUCACGAACAAAUAACUCAGCAACACUCUUUGCUGUAUAGGGAUGACAUAAGAGGAGGAAAUGACAAUAUUUAGUGAAAUGGUCCACCACCACAAGUAUAGUAUCAUGUCCCAUUGCUUUUGGUAACCCACUGAUGAAAUCCAUAGCAAUAUCAUUCCAAACUUGAGUAGGAAUAGGUAAUGGUUGCAACAAGCCAGCGAGACUUAGGGCUUCAUACUUGUUUUGCUUGCAAACUUCACAACUAGCCACAUAGUUUUGUACAUCCCUUUUGAUUCCAUUCCAAUACAACACUUGUGAAAUGCGUUUGUAUGUACGGAAAAAACCUGAGUGUCCUCCAGUAGGUGAAGAGUGAAAUUCCCUAAGGAGUGUGGGAAUGUGUAAUGACGAACGGGGAAUCACCAGCCGACUUUUGAAAAAUAGGCAGCCAUUCUUUAGAACAUAAUUCGGUCGUGAAGCCGGAUUUUGCAGCAACUCUUGAGUCAAUUUACGGAGUUGAUCAUCCUGUUGAAUUUCUGUGGAAAGAUCAUCUAAUGUACUGCUGCGUAGAACAGAAAAAGCCAUGAAAUGAAAUUGGCGAGACAAGGCAUCAGCUGCUUUAUUUUCACAACCCGGUCGAUAUUGAAUCUCAAAAUCAAACCCCAUCAACUUAGUAACCCAUUUUUGUUGCUCCUCUGCCAUAACAUGUUGCCCCAUGAGAAAUUGGAGACUUCGUUGAUCUGUUCGUAUAAUGAUAUGCUUACCCAUCAGGUAAUGACGCCACUUUUGUACAGCAAAAACAAUGGCCAUUAACUCCCUCUCAUAUACUGAUUUGGAUUGAGCACGAAUAGAAAAUCCUUGACUAAGAAAAGCGAUGGGAUGUCCUUCUUGCAUUAGGACAGCUCCAAUCCCUAAUCCUGAAGCAUCUGUCUCAACCACAAACACUUUUUUAAAAUUUGGUAGUGCCAAAACCGGCAAAGUGACCAUAGCCUCCUUAAGAGACUCAAAAGCUAACUGAGCUUCUUUAUUCCAAUGAAAAGCAUCUUUCUUGAGCAAUUGUGUGAGUGGCCGGGCUAUUUUCCCAUAGUCACGAACAAACUUCCUAUAGUAACCAGUAAGUCCCAAAAAACCCCGCAAACCUUUAACAUCUUUGGGAUUUGGCCAAUUAAUCAUGCUUGUUAUUUUGGCAGGAUCCGCUGAGACUCCACUUGCGGAAAUAAUAUGUCCCAAAUACUCUAGUUGUGGUUGACCAAAAUGACAUUUUUUUCGAUUGACAACCAGGUUAUGAUGUUUUAAAAUUUGCAGCACCUCCCGCAAAUGACCCAAGUGAGUAGAAAAAUCUGCACUAUAAACUAAUAUGUCAUCAAAAAAGACCAAUACAAACUUACGUAAGUGAAGCCGAAAUAUCUCAUUCAUCAAGGCUUGAAAAGUAGAUGGAGCGUUUGACAACCCAAAUGGCAUGACCAAAAACUCAUAAUGGCCUUCAUGUGUGCGAAAUGCUGUUUUUGCUACAUCCUCCUUGCAAACUCGAAUUUGAUGGUACCCCGAUCUUAGAUCCAAUUUUGAAAAAACAGUGGCACCCCCAAGCUCAUCCAGUAAUUCAUCGAUUGCUGGAAUUGGAAAUUUAUCUGGAACAGUGAUCUUAUUAAGGGCCCGAUAAUCCACACAAAAUCUCCAACUACCAUCUUUUUUUCGAACUAGCAACACUGGACUGGAGAAAGGACUUGUACUUGGUUGAAUGAUACCAGCUACAAGCAUUUCCUGGACGAUUCGCUCAAUCUCAUUUUUUUGAUAAUGGGGGUAACGGUAUGGACGAAUAUUAGGUGGAUUUGAUCCCUCUUUAAGUUGGAUAGCAUGAUCAUGACUCCUAUUUGGUGGCAGCCCUUGCAGAUCCUCAAAUAAAGUUCCAAAUUCUUCUAAUAACUGCUGCAAAUUCAUAUUCUCUUGUUCUUCCCUUGCUGUUAACUCAUUGAGGUCAAGAUAAUAUCCUUCUCCAUCUGUUUGCAAGGCUUUAAACAGAGUUUUGAGUGAAACCACUGAUUUGGAUAAUGAGGGGUCUCCUCGAACAACUUGUGUUUGCCCUCUUAUUUCAAAUUUCAACGUCAACGUUUUGAAAUUAGCUUGAAUAUCCCCCAAAGUCUCCAGCCACUCUAGUCCCAACACAACAUCGGCACUUCCCAAAUUAAAAAGGAAAUAAUCUUGUGUUAUGCACAAUUUAUCAAUCCAUAGUUCCACAGCUUUACAACUUCCCCUACUCUUUACUUGUUGCCCAUUCCCUACUUCCACCACAAUUGACUUAGUUUCUGUUUGCUUUAACCCUAAUUCUUCGGCAACAUUGCGAGAAAUAAAAUUUGUUGAGGCUCCGCUAUCAAUCAACACAAUAACCUUUUUCCCCAAUAUUGUUCCCCCUACCUUCAAGGACUUCUUUGUGGUAAAUCCUGCAAUAGAGUACAAAGACAAUUCCAUUAACUUUUGAGACUCUGGUUGUUCUUGAACAUUUAACUGAUUCACCCCUGCAUCUAUUAUUUCAUUUGAAUGCUCUUCUAUAUCUCCAUCUUCGCUGUCCUCUGAUGCUACAAUAAGCAGAUUUAACUGUCUAGAAUUGCACCGGUGAUUGGGGCCAUAUUUUUCAUCGCAGCGAAAACAAAGUCCUCUUCUUAAUUUAUCCUGAUACUCUGCAUCAGAUAGCCUUUUGUAUGCUCCACCACGCCUUGCUGAAGUUUCAAGUCCUGGCUGCAUGAUCUCUCCACGCUUUUGCUCUUGAAAAUGUCGUGGUACUGCUGAAACUGUUGUACGGGCAGAAUGAUAUGGUGUUGUGGCUACACGCACAUGGGAACUUGUAGCACUUCCUGUCCGGCUAUUGUCAGUCCCUGGAAAAUGCGUUGACACCUUAGGAAGUGUUAUCGGCAUAGAUCUCUGCAAGUGGACUUGGCUGAGAGCCCAAUUCUUUUCUUCAAUACGUUGGCUUUGGUCCAUAAUUUGGGUUAGAGUUCCCAACUUGCUAAGACGCAAUUCUGCCUUGAUUUCCCCUCUCAGUCCAUUUAUAAAAAUUCCUACCAAAACCUCAUCAUCAACAUCUUUCAAGGGUGCUGAAAGCAACUCAAAAUCUUCUCUAUAUUGGGCCACACUUCCAGUUUGUUGCAAUCCUAUCAAAACCUCAUAUAAGUUCCCUAACUGUGAUGGAGUAAAUCGUUGGAGUAUGGCUACUCGAAACACAUCCCAUGUGACAACCGGUGUUCUGGUCUCCCACCAUUGGAACCAAUUCAGGGCUCUACCUUCAAGGCAAACAGCAGCAGCCUCCAAUUUAUCCGUGUCAUCAAUGCCAUUGAAAUGAAAAUAACGCUCUGCUCUAUUAAGCCACCCAUAAGGAUUAUCACCAGAAAAUAAGGGUAGUUCCAGUCGUCUAGGACGUGUUUCAUCACGAAAUUGUGGUUGAACUUCCCGAAAUCUGUCACCUCUGCGAUUGUGGCUGUUCUCUGCCAUUACAUCUGUGUCUUUAAUUGGAUCUUCCUGAACCACUGAUUUUCCUUUCAUAUGUUGAAGAAUUUCAGCGUCACGCUCAUCUUUUUUUUGCAUCCAGUCUCGUAACUGCCCUAUGUAAUCACGUACUGAACCAAUCUCAUGUUGUACUUCAUCCAUUGUCUUCUCUAAUCCUUCAAUCCUCCCUUCCAUUCUGGUUGAAACCAUAAAGGCUCUGAUACCAAAAUUGUUAGGAACCCACAAUUCUCUAAUAAUAAAUCUGUAAACUUCCAAACACAAGACAGAAGUAGGAACAACACUUCAACUAAUAUUUACUGCUACAGAUAAUUAGAAUAUGUUAUACAAAUAGUUAGUAGAGAAUACUUCUAACAUUCAAGGUAUUUCGAGGAACCUUAACCUCCAAAUCUGCCUGAGAAAUCCUUACCCACCAAAAUCCUGUCUUUUUCCUUUUCCCAGUACUAUUUAUCCCCAAAUAACUACCUAAACUGCUAGUUAACUGCUAGAUAACUACUAGAUAACUACUAGAAUUACAUUCACAUAAUAAUUAAUAAAUAAAACAACUAUAUUUAAGCCUUAUUUUCACCCUUCUUUCUGCGUUCAUAGACCUUAGUAACAACAGGUCUAACAAUAUGAUUGUUAGAUCCUUGAAGUUUGUGUGUUAAAAUUUCUAUUUGCCGAUGCUGUAGGACUCUGAGGUAGUUGGUUCCAUAAGCAUUUUAACCAUUAUGUAUUUGAAAAAAAAGAGCAGAAUAACAUAAGUUUCGCUGAAAUAAUGCAUGCGGAUUGUAUUGCACUGACUAAGUGAAGGCUUCAAAAGAAAAAACUGAUAGAAUCAAGUCCUAUUAAGGAGUGCAACAAUUAUGUUACCUAUCUGUUUAACUGAGCCAUUGUGUUUCUGCUUUCAGAUGUUCUUUUUCUUGUUUCUGGCAAAUGUUUUAAAUUUUUUUAUCUCAUUUCUUGAUUCAUAAACUUUUAUGUAUAUACAAGUAGGGGUGUUAUUAAUCUUAUAGAUGUUAAUGUUGAUGAACUAAAGAUAAAGAUUAUAUUCAAUGAAAGGGUUAGAUACUUGUUUCAUUCCUACCAUAUUCGGUGUAUGUGCACCCUCUAUCUCAAAUGGAGUGUGAGACAUCCAUAUCUUAAUUUUUUGGAUGCUCAAAGACAUAACUUUAGUUUGACAGCCAGUAUAAGAGGUCCUCUCUUUGUAGAAAAGAUCUCUUCUUCAUUUAAUUAUUUGCUACUACAAGACUGAAGUUGCAUAUCUGGGGCUUUUCAGCUAGACUUCCGAGCUUUGUUUUUCCAUAGCUUAGAAGCUUUCUCUAGAAUCCUCUCCUCGUAGAAAGGAUCUCCUCUUCAUUUAAUCAUUUGCUACUUCAAGUUGCAUCUUUGGGGCUUUUGAUCUUGAAUUUCAAGCUUUGUUUUUCCUUAGCUUAGAAACUCUCUUUUUGCUUCCUGUCCACUGUCUUUUCUCCUUGGUUGGUUGGGACUUUGUUUUAGACAUAAUAUUCUUAGCUAUUUGGUCCAUGGGUCUCUGAGGAGCAUGUUCGGAGUAGAAAUGAGUGGUGCGAGGGAUUGUUGGCUUUGAAAGAUAUUUGGAGAACUCACUUACAUUCUUUUUCUUGAUAAUGCAGGGCUGGCAUAAAUUUGAAGAUCAUUUCCACCGACGAUCCCCAACAGGUUGACUUGGCUACUAGGAUUGCAUGAAAGAAGUUUCUGCUUCCCCUUUUUGCUAUCCUUAGAGAUGACAUGAAAAACUUUUGACAUCUUUUUAGUUUGGAAUCCACAAUGUAUGUAGUUCCUGGUCUCUCAGAUGUUUGUAUUAAAGAAGAAGAUGAGUUUAAUUCAUCUGACUACUUUGUUGAUCAGAUUGUCAACUAAUAUCUAUUGCACAUUGUUUUGAUUUACAAGUACUUGAUUAAACAAUGGUGGGUUUGUGGCUGAAUAUUCUGAUUCGACUUUAGUUGUUCGAUCCUGAAGCAUGCCUUUCCUUUGUGUUUCUUGUAGUGCCCUUACUUAGCUUCCUUCGUUGAGCUAUCCUCUUCUACCACGUUUCAAUAUGCCAUCAGGAGAAGUCGGUUUGCAUAAUCCGCAAUCAUGAACCCGGCUAUGCACUAAAGAAAGUUUUGCUUCAUAAAAUCUUCCAUUGUGUUCUCUUCACUCAAUUUUUGUUCCUUUUCCCACAAGUGUUUUUGCAAUUGAGUCAUAUUAUAAGGGCAUUUAAUGUAGGAAAAAGGGUAAAAAAUGCUUUUAAAUUAUGUGAAAGGAACAAAAAUGUCAUCCGUUUAUAGUUUGGUUCAAAAAUGUCUUUGCCGUUAAUAUUUUGGUUCAAAAAUGCCCUUACCAUCAAUACUUUGGUCAGAAAUGCCCCUAUAGUUACUAAAUGGGUCAAAAAUGCCCUUUUCUGAAUAAAUAUAUUAUUUUUUUCUUUUUAAACAUAUCUUCUUCCUAAUUAACAUAUUAUUAAAGAUUCUUAUUUUGUUUUUCUUUUAAAAUCACUUUAACAAAUAAAAAUGUAGGAUUUAUUUUUCUUUUUCUUAAUCUCAUUUUAUCAAUUAAAAUAGAAUAACUUCAUGUACCCUUUCGACAGAUAAUAUAUGCCAUAUAUAUAAGAUCAUAAUAUAUCCAUCAUAAAAAAUAAUUAUAAUAAAAUAAGUAAUAUUUUUUGUUACGACCUGAUUUCGAAAACUAAGGUUUCGAGACCAUUUUCGCAACUUUGGCAAUUUUUGUUGAGUUUUGGAAAAAUCUAUAAUUUGGAAGUCGCCACUUAAUUUUUUAGGAAAAUUAAGAAAACCAUUUAAAAGGAGAAUUUUGAAAGAAAGUAAUUUAAAUAAAACCAAAGUCGGGUAAGGGUUCAAAUAAUUUUCUAAGGAAGGGUUUAGGCAUCUUAGAGAGUCCGCUAACACGCGGUUGACCGACGGAUUUAAAAAUUUGGCUAACUUUGUAAAAAAUGGUUACUUAUAAAAAUCUCAUUUGAAACUUAGAUAAAAAUCCCUUGAUACUUUUAAAAAUCUCAAAAAUAAUCCUAACUUAAAACUUUUAUUCAUAGUUAUGUUUUGAACCAUACGAUUAAUUCGAACUCAUCAACAUGGAUCAAGGGACCUUGUUUAGCAACUAUGAAAGGAUAUAAAAAUUCCUCAAGUCAUUCAUACACAGUCUUCAGUCAUUUUUUAAAAGAUAACUAAUUUUAGUUUAAGACGACUUAACAACUCUAUCCUAGUCAAAAUUUGAACUAAAUAGCUAAUUCCAAACUCAUAAACAUGGAUUCAAAGCUUUUCAAUAACUAUGAAAGAACAUAAAAGGUUCUCAAGUUAUUCUAAUAAGCAUAUUACCUAACUUAAAAUGGGUUUUGGAAAUUUGGAAAUUUUAAAGUAAACAAGCGACAAAAUAUGAAAUAAAAAUCCCUCCAAAGAUUCAUCUAAGUUAAGAAAAUAAAUGUUAGAAGUUAAGAGCAAUUAUCACAAAAUAAGGAAAAUAAAAGUGCGAAGAGAACUUGGACAAAUCUAAGUCCAUUCGCUGCUUCUUAAUUGUUGUUGCUGGCGCAAUUUUCAAACUUUCUUAGUCUGAAAAAUGCAAGUUUCAGCCCUUCGAAACUGCUGUGACCUGUUACUGAGCAGCUGCCAUCAAUAAUAAUUGAAUCAAUAAGUCAAAAAUCCCUAAAAUAUCAGCCCUUUAGGGCAGUUGCGAUCUGCUCACGUUACUUGGGUUUUAAACCCAAUUUUUGCUCCUCGUUUCCCUGCCUUUUCAAGGCUGCUGUUGCUGCUGGUUUGCUUGGGUUUUAACCCAAUAAUACUAGCUUCCCUUUCACGACUCGGAGGAGGUUUGACUCAAGAAGAGGACUAUGCAAGAGAGGGGAGUCCGUGUGAACUCAAUGGAAGCGUGUUCAUGCAUAAUAAGAAAAAGAAUUAGCUAGUAUAGAUGAACUCCAAGGAAAACAUAACGAAUUAAAAUUAUCGUUAAAACUAACCAAACCAGAAACACAUGAUCAUUAAUUAGUCACAGCUUUCAGAACUUAAGUAGUAUGGUAAACUGGACAGAUUUUCUUUUUUUUUUUUUUAAAAAAAAAAGGAAAAACUAAGUCAAUAAACAAGUCAUCUGUAGGCAAAAAAAAUAAGGGAUCAUUGCAGAGAACAUAAAAACCAAAGCAUUCAAUACUAAGCAGCACAUCAACUUUCUUAAGCAAGACACAAGACAAAGAAAAAUAUUUUGAGAAAUGAAGGAACUUAGAAGUAAAUUAUACAUGCAUAGAAGUUGUAUGUGAACUUAAACAAGAUUAUAGUAUUGUAGUCUAUAUUGAAACAUGCAAAACUAAAAUUAAAACAAACAGACAACUUCUUAGCUUUAUCUAGUGUGACUCAAAAAUAAAAACUAAUAAGAGCAAAACACAAAGAUAGGAGAGAAUGCUAAGAAGAGAAAAAUAAAACACUUGAUUUUAUAGCCUUAAGUCUAAUUAACCAACUCAUAGAUUCAAGUUUCAAUCAGCACAUUGCUAGCUAUAAAUUACUCAUCUCUAACUCACAAAAUUACCACACUUCGAUUGAUUUUAACAAAGAGUAAACAAUGAGCUAAAUUAACAAAGUACUAACAUAUAUUAUAUCACUUAGAUGCAUAAUUUAUCCAUACUAACUCUAGGUAAACUAAGCAUAACAGGACUUCAAAAAACUGUACUUGGAAGAAAUCAUUGUAAGGCUAACAUGCUUUACCAUUUCAGAAAUUGAGCGAAUCAACAAAAGAUCACGACUAGUAAAGCAGCACAUGACAUAUGAGCUUCCGAAUAGAACAACACAUCUAUGACAUCCAAUAUUUAAACUAAUAAUCAGCAAAUAGGAUGAAUUCCAAGCCAAGCAAAUGUACACAAUUUAGGAUCUAUAGCUCAAGGAGUGACAUGAGGAUCUAAAGGAUUUAGGAGCAACCAAAGAGAAAUUCAACUUCAUCUAGAGCUCAACUAAACCUAGGAUCAACUCAUGGUUUCCGAACAAAUAAAAUCCUUAACAUAAGAAGCAAGUAAGAAACCCACAUUGUGAAAAAAGGGAACUGGAUGUAAAACGAAGAAAGCAGGGGUUCACUUUAAGGAGCAUAUGUAAAAGUAGAAUUGAGAUUGAGUGCACUCAAAUGAAUCUACAUAUAACAUACAAUUGCUCAAUCCCUUGGACCACAAACGAACUAAAUAGAGUAUCAAAAGUGUCAUACUAAACUAAAGAAACAAGUUCAUAAUAUAAACAACAGUUAAACUCGAACAAAUCACAGCAACAUUUUAAUCAUAUAUUACUUGAGAAAUUUGAUAAAAACGUGAUACAAAACAAUCUUGAACGAUAAAUUUGAGACCUCAAAUUUUAUAAACUUAUAAAUAAACCCCUAUUUCACAGAGACUAAAAUGACAGAAACUAAACCAAGUACUAACAUUUUAACCAUUUUAUGGAGCAAGAGAUAGAUUCUUAAGGAAACAAUAGAGGAGUGACUAUUCAGUCGAGUUAGCAAGGGUAAGGCAUUUUUUAGGUUGUUUUCAAUCACCAGAUGCGAUACAGAAUCGAUCAAGCAAAAUGUGCUAUUAAGUCAAAACAGGAUUUCACAUUUUUACUAAAAGAAAAAUCUGGAAAGAAAAAAAAACAGUAACUCUCUCCAGAAACUAGGAUUGGAAAUUCAAACAACCCACAGGGAAUAAAAGAAACAUUGCUAAUGUACUUGUAAAAUCACCAAUACUUAGGCAUUCAACAAAAAUAUUCAUCAACAUAUAAAUGUUAGGAAACAUACUAGCCUUAAAUCGGCUCUAACACAUAACACAACAACAUAGACUAAAAUUAAACUAAAUAGAAAAGGAAAGGAAAGAGUUACCUGGUUCUGGGCAGCGACUGAAACUGGAGUCCGGAUGUGACGAACUCUACCACCACCCCGACUCAAAAUAGCCGCAAAUCAAUUGAAUUUCAGUGACGAAAAUAAGAGCUCCCAAAAAAACAUAGCGGGGUGCUCUUUUCUUCGCCUCCCAAAAAACCUCCCUUGAACAGUAAGAGGGAGGGGUAUUUAUAGGACCUAAAAUCUCACGAAAUUUGGAAAGAUUUUCGAUGUGGGAUUUUGAGAAUUUUCAAAAUCCCUUAACAUAUAAGGAUUGCCAACUAGUUAGUGUACGAAUUCGUACCAUUUUGAACGAAAUUGAAAAAGGAAAAUCGAAAAUUAUAAGGGUAUUACCGUUGAGGAAUGCAAUGCUGGAAGCUUGAGGCGUCUUUGAGCUCGUACUAUGCACGCGGAGAGUACGAAUUGAAGGAGAAAAGAGGAAAAUUGAGGCGGUGAAUCUGAGGAUUUGAAGUUGGGUUCGUUUGGUUGCUUUCGCUGAGGAAGAAGAAGAAGAAAGAGGUGGGAUCGGGGGGCGUGUAGGAGAGUUCUGUGUGUUCUUUCUAGGAAACAAAAAGAGUGUGUGUGCGCGUGAGGUAAAGGGGAUUAGGAAAAUAGUGGAAUAAAGGGUGUGGGCUGGUUUAAAGCUUUUUGGGGCCAAAAAAUUGGAUUAAAAAGCUGAGGAAAAAUAAGUGGGUUAAGGAACUGGUC